UUUCCAUAGGUGAACCUGCGGAAGGAUCAUUGUCACACAUCCUAAUGGAUGCUUGUGCCAACAAGCAGACCCAGCGAACCAUUCUCCUAUCACUUGAGGGGCUGCAUCGCGAGGUGCAGCUGUCUGCGGUCGGGCCCUUGCUUCAGGGCCGGAGUCCUUGCUGGGUUCACCGUUGCAGGUGAGCACCGGCCGUCCGACGGGGGCCGCUCUUGGGCCUCGCACACGGGAGAGUGCGGGGGCGGCGUUUCCCACUCCAGCUGUCCCUUCCGGGGCAGCUGCGCAACCAACCAAAACACUAUGCAAAAACCGACUGAAGACCGAUCCUUUGCGGGCGCCUUCGGGAGCCCUGCCUCGGAUCAAAAACAAACUAAAGACAACUCUCAACAACGGAUAUCUUGGCUCUC
rnacentral:misc_RNA from 1 species